UACAGAGGGUGCGAGCGUUGUCCGGAAUCACUGGGCGUAAAGGGCGCGUAGGUGGCGCUCCAAGUCUGUGGUGAAAGCUCGACGCUCAACGUCGAGUCGGCCAUAGAGACUGGAGGGCUCGAGCACUGUAGGGGCAGAUGGAAUUCCGGGUGUAGCGGUGGAAUGCGUAGAGAUCCGGAAGAACACCGGUGGCGAAGGCGGUCUGCUGGGCAGUUGCUGACACUGAGGCGCGACAGCCAGGGGAGCGAACGGG
rnacentral:rRNA from 1 species